UGGGAUUAAAGGCAUGUGCCACCACUGCCUGGCU
rnacentral:piRNA from 1 species